GCGGCCCGUACCCUAAACCGACUCAGGUGGUCAGGUAGAGAAUACCGAGGCGUUCGGGUGAACUAUGGUUAAGGAACUCGGCAAAAUGCCCCCGUAACUUCGGGAGAAGGGGGGCCACGUCUGGUGAGAGGAUUUACUCCUUGAGCUGGGGGUGGCCGCAGAGACCAGCGAGAAGCGACUGUUUACUAAAAACACAGGUCCGUGCGAAGCCGUAAGGCGAUGUAUACGGACUGACGCCUGCCCGGUGCUGGAACGUUAAGGGGACCGG
rnacentral:rRNA from 1 species